AUUGAACGCUGGCGGCAGGCCUAACACAUGCAAGUCGAGCGGAUGAAGGGAGCUUGCUCCUGGAUUCAGCGGCGGACGGGUGAGUAAUGCCUAGGAAUCUGCCUGGCAGUGGGGGAUAACGUCCGGAAACGGGCGCUAAUACCGCAUACGUCCUGAGGGAGAAAGUGGGGGAUCUUCGGACCUCACGCUAUCAGAUGAGCCUAGGUCGGAUUAGCUAGUUGGUGGGGUAAAGGCCUACCAAGGCGACGAUCCGUAACUGGUCUGAGAGGAUGAUCAGUCACACUGGAACUGAGACACGGUCCAGACUCCUACGGGAGGCAGCAGUGGGGAAUAUUGGGCAAUGGGCGAAAGCCUGAUCCAGCCAUGCCGCGUGUGUGAAGAAGGUCUUCGGAUUGUAAAGCACUUUAAGUUGGGAGGAAGGGCUGUAAGUUAAUACCUUGCUGUUUUGACGUUACCAACAGAAUAAGCACCGGCUAACUUCGUG
rnacentral:rRNA from 1 species